UCCAGGGGCAACUGAAAGCCUCUCUGC
rnacentral:piRNA from 1 species